GGGGAUUUAGCUCAGUGGCAUUAAGCGCCUGCCUGGCAAGCACGAGGUUGUGAGUUCAAUCCCCG
rnacentral:tRNA from 1 species